UUUGUAGGACGCCAUUUCUGUAUCCAUUCAAGAUAGGCUGUUUAAGAUUUGUGCGACCAUCAUGAGCUUCGAUGGAAGUAAAGGCCCGCCCCAAAUUGAGGGAAUGACUAGCUUAAAAGUCGAUAACCUUACUUAUCGCACUACCGUAGGAGAUUUGACGCACGUUUUUUCAAAAUACGGCGAUCUUGGCGACGUUUACAUCCCGCGUGACCGCUACAAACAAGAAUCCAGAGGGUUUGCUUUCGUACGAUUCUACGAGAAGCGAGAUGCGGAAGAUGCAAUGGAUGCCUUGCACGGAACUAUCAUCGAUGGAAGAGAAAUCCGUGUGCAGAUGGCAAAGUAUGGCAGACCAUCAGAUCCUUAUAAACCUCGAAAUAAUCGUUACAGGCAAUCAUCGUCCUACAGCAGCUCGAGGUAUCGAUCCCGUUCUCGUUCUCCACGACGAAGGGCACGCCGAUCACGUUCCAGAUCUCCACGGCGUCGUUCGAAGUCUCGCUCCCGUUCACCACGCAAAGCUCGUUACAGUGGCUCGCAGUCACCAAGAAAACAGGAGAGCCGUUCUCGCUCCAGAAGUCCUCGGCGUAAGCGAUCCCACUCAAGGUCCCGUUCAAAAUCUGGUUCAAGACCCAGACAGUCUCGUUCCAAGUCCCGUUCUCGGUCCAAAUCCCAUUCGAGAUCACCCCAGAACAAAACAUCAAGGUCUCCUUCUAGGUCUCCUAAACAGAGAAGAUCUGUGACUCCAGAUCGCACCGCACAAGAUCAUGAUGACAACAUUGACGCUUCUGCAGAGCAACAACAAGAAAGUGCUGACAACGAACGAAGAGAAAACAAUGCUUAUGAUUAAACAAUCCAAGCUUUCUUUAGACUUACUUAAACCAUUUAUAGUAAUCAGUUCUUUUAAGUAUUCUCUUCCAGGCUUUGUUGCUGUUGUGGAGAUGGGGAGUAAACUUUUGUUGCAGAGCAAGGAGGGAAUGGAUUGGGCAUUCUUCUAUUUUAGGCGCAGUUUAUUUAUACUUGCUGUGUGGGUUGACUGGUCAUGCAGUGUUUUGCUGUUUUCUGCUGUUGCCGAAGGAGCCCAUGCUGUUGCAGACUCCUGUGGGCGUUGUUGCCGUCCAGUUUCCUGAUUGGUUGCUGUUCGUCAAUUUUUCUGUUCAUUUAGAAAUUACCCCUGAAAGCUCAAUUACCACAACUUUUAAAUUUUCCUCCAAAUUUCUAGGUUAGGUAUGCAGCUUGAAAAAGGGUAGAAAAGAUCUUGAGGAAGAAGUGAUAUUUCAUCAAGCACAAUUUUGCUAACUACCUCGGUCGUAAAUUGAGGCGCACAGCUUGGGACCUUGGGAGGGAACUCUCCUGUUAGAUUUCUCAGGGCUUAAAAAGAAAUCAGUGCUAGGCUUGUUUCUAUCCAAAAGUGCCAAGGGCAAAUUUUAGCGGCUCAUUUAAACAAAACGCCUCCAAACUAAUUUGCAAAUACGAAGAAAAUCCUCAUCUCUGAAAGUAACACACGCACACACAAGCUAACCAUGGUUGGUAAGAGGAUCAUGUGCCCUUUCAACCAUUUACUUUCUCAGUGGCAUGGUUUUCCGAUGUUUAAUUUUUCUAUAUUUGGUUAAUGAGUCUUUCUUCCAGUCUUCCAUAUUGGAAAAUUGGAUCGUCGUUACCUUUCAAGGUGAUUACGAUCCGAAAAUUCUAGAAGAGUUAACUGUGUUGCAGGUGAAAUCCAACUGGUUCGUUCGUUGACAUGUGUCCAACUUACAUUUGGGCUGAAGUCUGGCUCACACUUAUAAUUGAUUUCUAUGAAUUGACAAAUGUCGCUGACAUUGUAAGUCGUGAUGCGAAGUAUAGCGAUGAAGAGAUCCUUCUAUCGGGCCAAGGAUAGUAAGAAGUGUCGUGACAACAUGUCGGGAGCACUUAAGUGUGGUGAUGACGACGUAAGGGGCGGCGGAAUGAAUUACGUAGGUGAAUACGAAGCGGGCUCGCUUUCGAUUACAAGCUUAGCUAUCAUUCCUUCCUUUACAGAAAGAAGUAGUGUAAACCUCAGUACAUCGUUCGGCUACACUUAAUGUUGUAGUAAAGCCGAUAUUUAACCAAGGUGGCUUUCGUCAGAGGACGGGGUACAGAGAAAUGCUGUCGAUGCACAGUCAGUGUUGAGUCUCGGAAGCAGUUGAAGAAUCCGGGAUGAGGCGGCUAUUUGGCUUUCAUGAGCAGUGAAAGAGAGGUUAGCCUUAUCGUGUGGACUAAGAAUCCACGACCAGCCGAAAGAGCGUCUGCGAAGGAGAAAGCAGUGCGUAGACUGGUCAACAGUAACGUGUUCCCUUGCUUUUUAGAGAACUAGGCAAAUAAAAGUAUUUUUUUAUUUA
rnacentral:misc_RNA from 1 species